rnacentral:lncRNA from 1 species
AUAUAGAACUUUGUGAAACUUUUUCAACUUUCAAGUCACAGAUGUGCACUCAGGCUAAUUCAACCUUUGACAUUGCUGCUCCCUAAGCUAUAAGUCCACAAUUUCUUGUGAGCAUCUUCACAGCCUUCUCUUCUCCUAUUAUACCUUUUCUUUUGUCACCAAAGAAAUGUCUUCACUCUAGGGAAUUUAAGGACAACAGAUUUUAUCUAUUUACAGUCAUGCUUUAAGUGAUAGCAUCUAAAGUGCUAGCAUUAACAGCAUAAAACUUGUAAAAGAAAUAUAAAUAAAAAUAACAAAGAUUGAUGUUAAUAAUAAACUAAUUUCCCCUGUUAUUACUACAUCCCUUUCUCCCAAACUCUAUAUUCACAUACACAAGAUACUUUUAUUCUUUUAAAAAUUCUUUUCUUGCAUUUUUUAUUAUAUUUUUUGAUUUGUUUUGUUGCUAAAAAGAAAGAAAACGAUACAUACAACAUGGGGAGCCUUUCUGUGUUGUUCUGAUGAAAUGUUAUAAAUCUGUAAACUUUUCUACUUUGUAUGUGGCAAAUGAUAAAUCUCAAGGAACCAAGCAUCUGGCUGGCACCAUGAGCAGAGCAGGGAAAUGCAGGAUCUCUGCAGUCUGGGCAGUCUGGAAGAGGGAGCUGCCAUGUUGUAAGCUGUCCUGUGAAGAGGGCCACAGGGCAAGAAACUCAUGCAACCAACAGCUAUUGAGGAGCUGAGGCUUGUUAGCAGCCAUGUAAGUGAAUUUGAAAGUAGAUUAAAAUGACUGUAGGCCUGACCUUCACCUUAUUUGCAGCACUAUGAGAAACCCUGAUGAAAGGAUUCACCUAAGCUGUACUGAACUCUUGACACUUAGAAACUGUGAGUAAUAAGUAGUUAUUGCUUUUAGUUGCUAAUGUUAGGCCAAUUUGUUAUGUAGCAGGAAUCUCUUAAGACACCAUGUAAUACAUUUAUGGUCUUUUUUCUAUUGAAUUGUAUGUAACCUUAUCAUUGAAUCAUUAAUUCCACUCAUUUAUUGCUAUAGACUUGCUGUAGCUCAUAUGUAAUAGAGUGUUUCCCCCUGCUUCACCUUUUUAUUUUAAAGUCAACUUUGGUAUUUGUUAAUUUUCUUCUUCAUACUUUUUAUGGUAAGUUCACUGAAUUUUUGAAAUAUAGUUAGAAUUUGAUUGAAUUUGCAUCGUUUAUUGACAAAUAUGCAGAAUUUAUAACUUUAUUUCACUAUAAUCUCAUUC